rnacentral:rRNA from 1 species
AGCGAUCUUGUUAGCAUAAUGAGAGAGCGGCGGAAGGGUGAGUAACACGUAGGAGACCUACCUCAUCGCAGGGAACAACUUCGCGAAAGCGGAGCUAAUACCCAAAAGGCUCACAGAUUCAUUUUUGUGAGGAGAGUACGAAAGUGCGUGAUGAGAGGGUCCUGCGGCCCAUCAGCUAGUUGGUAGGGUAACGGCCUACCAAGGCAACGACGGGUAGGGGGUCUGAGAGGACGAUCCCCCACACUGGAACUGAAACACGGUCCAGACGCCUACGGGUGGCAGCAGGGAGGAAUAUUGGGCAAUGGACGAAAGUCUGACCCAGCAACGCCGCGUGAAGGAUGAAGGCCUUCGGGUCGUAAACUUCUUUUAGGGGAGACGAGAAAGGACGGUAUCCCCUGAAUAAGCCACGGCUAACUACGUGCCAGCAGCCGCGGUAAAACGUAGGUGGCGAGCGUUAUCCGGAUUCAUUGGGCGUAAAGAGCUUGUAGGUGGUGCGAUAAGUUGGACGUGAAAACUCCGGGCUUAACUUGGAGAGGCCGUUCAAUACUGUUGUGCUAGAGGGCGUCAGAGGGAAGUGGAAUUCCUGGUGUAGCAGUGAAAUGCGUAGAUAUCAGGAGGAACACCCGUGGCGAANGCGGCUUCCUGGGACGUACCUGACACUG